AACGAACGCUGGCGGCAUGCCUAACACAUGCAAGUCGAACGAGACCUUCGGGUCUAGUGGCGCACGGGUGCGUAACGCGUGGGAACCUGCCCUUAGGUUCGGAAUAACUCCCCGAAAGGGGUGCUAAUACCGGAUAAUGUCUUCGGACCACAGAUUUAACGCCUUUGGAUGGGCCCGCGUUGGAUUAGCUAGUUGGUAGGGUAAAAGCCUACCAAGGCGACGAUCCAUAGCUGGUCUGAGAGGAUGAUCAGCCACACUGGGACUGAGACACGGCCCAGACUCCUGCGGGAGGCAGCAGUGGGGAAUAUUGGACAAUGGGCGAAAGCCUGAUCCAGCAAUGCCGCGUGAGUGAUGAAGGCCUGAGGGUUGUAAAGCUCUUUUACCCGGGAUGAUAAUGACAGUACCGGGAGAAUAAGCUCCGGCUAACUCCGUG
rnacentral:rRNA from 1 species